rfam:Gossypium hirsutum cultivar TM-1 chromosome 22, whole genome shotgun sequence
CACGUCAGCGCGAUGUCAGGGUACGCGCCAAGAAAUCGCGUCCACGUCAGCGUGAGUUGCUGACAUGGACGCGAUUUCUUGGCGCGUACCCUGACAUCGCGCUGACGUGG